rnacentral:rRNA from 1 species
CACGUAGGGCGCAAGCGUUGUCCGGAAUUAUUGGGCGUAAAGAGCUCGUAGGCGGUCUGUCGCGUCUGCUGUGAAAAUCCGGGGCUCAACCCCGGACUUGCAGUGGGUACGGGCAGACUAGAGUGUGGUAGGGGAGACUGGAAUUCCUGGUGUAGCGGUGAAAUGCGCAGAUAUCAGGAGGAACACCGAUGGCGAAGGCAGGUCUCUGGGCCACUACUGACGCUGAGAAGCGAAAGCAUGGGGAGCGAACAGG